rnacentral:rRNA from 1 species
GAUGAACGCUAGCGACAGGCUUAACACAUGCAAGUCGAGGGGCAGCGAGGGCGUAGCAAUACGCCUGUCGGCGACCGGCGCACUGGUGAGUAACACGUAUGCGACCUGCCCCCUACAGGGGUAUAACCCGUAGAAAUGCGGACUAAUCCCCCAUAGUCCCGCGGGCUGCAUGGCCUGCGGGGGAAAGGGUUUCCGGUAGGGGAUGGGCAUGCGGCGCAUUAGCUAGUUGGCGGGGCAACGGCCCACCAAGGCGACGAUGCGUAGGGGUUCUGAGAGGAAGGUCCCCCACACUGGUACUGAGACACGGACCAGACUCCUACGGGAGGCAGCAGUGAGGAAUAUUGGUCAAUGGGCGCAGGCCUGAACCAGCCAAGUCGCGUGAGGGAUGACGGUCCUACGGAUUGUAAACCUCUUUUUGCGGGGAGUAACGUGCGGGACGCGUCCCGUAUUGAGAGUACCCGAAGAAAAACAU